rnacentral:rRNA from 1 species
ACAUAGGGUGCAAGCGUUGUCCGGAAUUAUUGGGCGUAAAGAGCUCGUAGGUGGUUCGUCACGUCGGAUGUGAAACUCUGGGGCUUAACCCCAGACCUGCAUUCGAUACGGGCGAGCUUGAGUAUGGUAGGGGAGUCUGGAAUUCCUGGUGUAGCGGUGGAAUGCGCAGAUAUCAGGAGGAACACCAAUGGCGAAGGCAGGACUCUGGGCCAUUACUGACACUGAGGAGCGAAAGCGUGGGGAGCGAACAGG